rnacentral:rRNA from 1 species
UACGUAGGGGGCUAGCGUUGCUCGGAAUCACUGGGCGUAAAGCGCACGUAGGCGGACUCUUAAGUCGGUGGUGAAAUCCUGGAGCUCAACUCCAGAACUGCCUUCGAUACUGAGAGUCUUGAGUCCGGGAGAGGUGAGUGGAACUGCGAGUGUAGAGGUGAAAUUCGUAGAUAUUCGCAAGAACACCAGUGGCGAAGGCGGCUCACUGGCCCGGUAUGAACGCUGAGGUGCGAAAAGCGUGGGGAGCAAACAG